rnacentral:rRNA from 1 species
AUACGGAGGAUGCGAGCGUUAUCCGGAUUUAUUGGGUUUAAAGGGUGCGUAGGCGGAAAGUUAAGUCAGCGGUGAAACGCAGGUGCUCAACACCUGACCUGCCGUUGAGACUGGUUUUCUGGAAUGCGGAUGCUGUGGGAGGAAUGUGUGGUGUAGCGGUGAAAUGCAUAGAUAUCACACAGAACACCGAUUGCGAAGGCAUCUCACAAAUCCGCUAGUGACGCUGAGGCACGAAGGUGCGGGGAUCGAACAGGAUUAGAUACCCUGGUAGUCCGCACAGUAAACGAUGAUGACUCGCUGUCGGCGAUAGACAGUCGGUGGCCAAGCGAAAGCGAUAAGUCAUCCACCUGGGGAGUACGACCGCAAGGUUGAAACUCAAAGGAAUUGACGGGG